rnacentral:lncRNA from 1 species
AAAAAGAAAAAAGAAACAAAGAACCAUAGUCAUAGAACAGCACGUGAGGGCUAUCGAAUGGUGCUUAAAGCACUCAAGAGUCAAGAUCUAAGCCAAGUGGUGGUCAAAGCACUCAAGAGCCAAGACCUUGAGUGCUUGCUUUUUGCAAUCAGAUGAUGAUUUUGCAGGAUGUAUAAGACGCUUUUGCAAUCAGUACUGGCUUGGAGUGUUUGCUGGGGGGUGUUUGCUUUUUGCAGCC